rnacentral:rRNA from 1 species
UACGUAGGGGGCAAGCGCUGUCCGGAAUCAUUGGGCGUAAAGCGCGUGUAGGCGGUCCGGUAAGUCCGCUGUGAAAGUCGGGGGCUUAACCCUCGGAUGCCGGUGGAUACUGUCGGGCUUGAGUACGGAAGAGGCGAGUGGAAUUCCUGGUGUAGCGGUGAAAUGCGCAGAUAUCAGGAGGAACACCAAUUGCGAAGGCAGCUCGCUGGGACGUUACUGACGCUGAGACGCGAAAGCGUGGGGAGCAAACAGG